rnacentral:rRNA from 1 species
AUUGAACGCUGGCGGCAUGCCUUACACAUGCAAGUCGAACGGCAGCACGGGAGCAAUCCUGGUGGCGAGUGGCGAACGGGCGAGUAAUAUAUCGGAACGUGCCCAGUCGUGGGGGAUAACGCAGCGAAAGCUGUGCUAAUACCGCAUACGAUCUACGGAUGAAAGCGGGGGAUCGCAAGACCUCGCGCGAUUGGAGCGGCCGAUAUCAGAUUAGCUAGUUGGUGGGGUAAAGGCUCACCAAGGCGACGAUCUGUAGCUGGUCUGAGAGGACGACCAGCCACACUGGAACUGAGACACGGUCCAGACUCCUACGGGAGGCAGCAGUGGGGAAUUUUGGACAAUGGGCGCAAGCCUGAUCCAGCAAUGCCGCGUGCAGGAUGAAGGCCUUCGGGUUGUAAACUGCUUUUGUACGGAACGAAACGGUGAGCUCUAAUACAGUUUGCUAAUGACGGUACCGUAAGAAUAAGCACCGGCUAACUACGUGCCAGCAGCCGCAGUAAAAC